rnacentral:rRNA from 1 species
GUGGGGAAUAUUGGACAAUGGGCGAAAGCCUGAUCCAGCCAUGCCGCGUGUGUGAAGAAGGUCUUCGGAUUGUAAAGCACUUUAAGUUGGGAGGAAGGGCAGUAAAUUAAUACUUUGCUGUUUUGACGUUACCGACAGAAUAAGCACCGGCUAACUCUGUGCCAGCAGCCGCGGUAAUACAGAGGGUGCAAGCGUUAAUCGGAAUUACUGGGCGUAAAGCGCGCGUAGGUGGUUAGUUAAGUUGGAUGUGAAAUCCCCGGGCUCAACCUGGGAACUGCAUUCAAAACUGACUGACUAGAGUAUGGUAGAGGGUGGUGGAAUUUCCUGUGUAGCGGUGAAAUGCGUAGAUAUAGGAAGGAACACCAGUGGCGAAGGCGACCACCUGGACUGAUACUGACACUGAGGUGCGAAAGCGUGGGGAGCAAACAGGAUUAGAAACCCGGGUAGUCC